GUGCCAGCAGCCGCGGUAAUACGUAGGUGGCAAGCGUUGUCCGGAAUUAUUGGGCGUAAGCGCGCGCAGGUGGGUUUAAUAAGUCUGAUGUGAAAGCCCACGGCUCACCGUGGAGGGUCAUUGGAAACUGUUAAACUUGAGUGCAGGAGAGAAGAGUGGAAUUCCUAGUGUAGCGGUGAAAUGCGUAGAGAUUAGGAGGAACACCAGUGGCGAAGGCGGCUUUUUGGCCUGUAACUGACACUGAGGCGCGAAAGGCGUGGGGAGCAAAACAGGAUUAGAUACCCUGGUAGUCC
rnacentral:rRNA from 1 species